UUAAGCGACUAAGCGUACACGGUGGAUGCCCUGGCAGUCAGAGGCGAUGAAGGACGUGCUAAUCUGCGAUAAGCGUCGGUAAGGUGAUAUGAACCGUUAUAACCGGCGAUUUCCGAAUGGGGAAACCCAGUGUGAUUCGUCACACUAUCAUUAACUGAAUCCAUAGGUUAAUGAGGCGAACCGGGGGAACUGAAACAUCUAAGUACCCCGAGGAAAAGAAAUCAACCGAGAUUCCCCCAGUAGCGGCGAGCGAACGGGGAGGAGCCCAGAGCCUGAAUCAGUGUGUGUGUUAGUGGAAGCGUCUGGAAAGGCGUGCGAUACAGGGUGACAGCCCCGUACACAAAAAUGCACAUGCUGUGAGCUCGAUGAGUAGGGCGGGACACGUGGUAUCCUGUCUGAAUAUGGGGGGACCAUCCUCCAAGGCUAAAUACUCCUGACUGACCGAUAGUGAACCAGUACCGUGAGGGAAAGGCGAAAAGAACCCCGGCGAGGGGAGUGAAAAAGAACCUGAAACCGUGUACGUACAAGCAGUGGGAGCCUCUUUAAUGGGGUGACUGCGUACCUUUUGUAUAAUGGGUCAGCGACUUAUAUUCUGUAGCAAGGUUAACCGAAUAGGGGAGCCGAAGGGAAACCGAGUCUUAACUGGGCGUUAAGUUGCAGGGUAUAGACCCGAAACCCGGUGAUCUAGCCAUGGGCAGGUUGAAGGUUGGGUAACACUAACUGGAGGACCGAACCGACUAAUGUUGAAAAAUUAGCGGAUGACUUGUGGCUGGGGGUGAAAGGCCAAUCAAACCGGGAGAUAGCUGGUUCUCCCCGAAAGCUAUUUAGGUAGCGCCUCGUGAAUUCAUCUCCGGGGGUAGAGCACUGUUUCGGCAAGGGGGUCAUCCCGACUUACCAACCCGAUGCAAACUGCGAAUACCGGAGAAUGUUAUCACGGGAGACACACGGCGGGUGCUAACGUCCGUCGUGAAGAGGGAAACAACCCAGACCGCCAGCUAAGGUCCCAAAGUCAUGGUUAAGUGGGAAACGAUGUGGGAAGGCCCAGACAGCCAGGAUGUUGGCUUAGAAGCAGCCAUCAUUUAAAGAAAGCGUAAUAGCUCACUGGUCGAGUCGGCCUGCGCGGAAGAUGUAACGGGGCUAAACCAUGCACCGAAGCUGCGGCAGCGACACUAUGUGUUGUUGGGUAGGGGAGCGUUCUGUAAGCCGUUGAAGGUGUGCUGUGAGGCAUGCUGGAGGUAUCAGAAGUGCGAAUGCUGACAUAAGUAACGAUAAAGCGGGUGAAAAGCCCGCUCGCCGGAAGACCAAGGGUUCCUGUCCAACGUUAAUCGGGGCAGGGUGAGUCGACCCCUAAGGCGAGGCCGAAAGGCGUAGUCGAUGGGAAACAGGUUAAUAUUCCUGUACUUGGUGUUACUGCGAAGGGGGGACGGAGAAGGCUAUGUUGGCCGGGCGACGGUUGUCCCGGUUUAAGCGUGUAGGCUGAUUUUCCAGGCAAAUCCGGAGAAUCAAGGCUGAGGCGUGAUGACGAGGCACUACGGUGCUGAAGCAACAAAUGCCCUGCUUCCAGGAAAAGCCUCUAAGCAUCAGGUAACAUCAAAUCGUACCCCAAACCGACACAGGUGGUCAGGUAGAGAAUACCAAGGCGCUUGAGAGAACUCGGGUGAAGGAACUAGGCAAAAUGGUGCCGUAACUUCGGGAGAAGGCACGCUGAUAUGUAGGUGAAGCGACUUGCUCGUGGAGCUGAAAUCAGUCGAAGAUACCAGCUGGCUGCAACUGUUUAUUAAAAACACAGCACUGUGCAAACACGAAAGUGGACGUAUACGGUGUGACGCCUGCCCGGUGCCGGAAGGUUAAUUGAUGGGGUCAGCCGCAAGGCGAAGCUCUUGAUCGAAGCCCCGGUAAACGGCGGCCGUAACUAUAACGGUCCUAAGGUAGCGAAAUUCCUUGUCGGGUAAGUUCCGACCUGCACGAAUGGCGUAAUGAUGGCCAGGCUGUCUCCACCCGAGACUCAGUGAAAUUGAACUCGCUGUGAAGAUGCAGUGUACCCGCGGCAAGACGGAAAGACCCCGUGAACCUUUACUAUAGCUUGACACUGAACAUUGAGCCUUGAUGUGUAGGAUAGGUGGGAGGCUUUGAAGUGUGGACGCCAGUCUGCAUGGAGCCGACCUUGAAAUACCACCCUUUAAUGUUUGAUGUUCUAACGUUGACCCGUGAUCCGGGUUGCGGACAGUGUCUGGUGGGUAGUUUGACUGGGGCGGUCUCCUCCUAAAGAGUAACGGAGGAGCACGAAGGUUGGCUAAUCCUGGUCGGACAUCAGGAGGUUAGUGCAAUGGCAUAAGCCAGCUUGACUGCGAGCGUGACGGCGCGAGCAGGUGCGAAAGCAGGUCAUAGUGAUCCGGUGGUUCUGAAUGGAAGGGCCAUCGCUCAACGGAUAAAAGGUACUCCGGGGAUAACAGGCUGAUACCGCCCAAGAGUUCAUAUCGACGGCGGUGUUUGGCACCUCGAUGUCGGCUCAUCACAUCCUGGGGCUGAAGUAGGUCCCAAGGGUAUGGCUGUUCGCCAUUUAAAGUGGUACGCGAGCUGGGUUUAGAACGUCGUGAGACAGUUCGGUCCCUAUCUGCCGUGGGCGCUGGAGAACUGAGGGGGGCUGCUCCUAGUACGAGAGGACCGGAGUGGACGCAUCACUGGUGUUCGGGUUGUCAUGCCAAUGGCACUGCCCGGUAGCUAAAUGCGGAAGAGAUAAGUGCUGAAAGCAUCUAAGCACGAAACUUGCCCCGAGAUGAGUUCUCCCUGAGACUUUAAGUCUCCUGAAGGAACGUUGAAGACGACGACGUUGAUAGGCCGGGUGUGUAAGCGCAGCGAUGCGUUGAGCUAACCGGUACUAAUGAACCGUGAGGCUUAACCUU
rnacentral:rRNA from 1 species